GACGAACGCUGGCGGCGUGCUUAACACAUGCAAGUCGAACGCUGAAGCUUAGUGCUUGCACUGGGUGGAUGAGUGGCGAACGGGUGAGUAAUACGUGAGUAACCUGCCCUUGACUCUGGGAUAAGCCUGGGAAACUGGGUCUAAUACUGGAUACGACAUGCCACUGCAUGGUGGUGUGUGGAAAGGGUUUUACUGGUUUUGGAUGGGCUCACGGCCUAUCAGCUUGUUGGUGGGGUAAUGGCCUACCAAGGCGACGACGGGUAGCCGGCCUGAGAGGGUGACCGGCCACACUGGGACUGAGACACGGCCCAGACUCCUACGGGAGGCAGCAGUGGGGAAUAUUGCACAAUGGGCGGAAGCCUGAUGCAGCGACGCCGCGUGAGGGAUGACGGCCUUCGGGUUGUAAACCUCUUUCAGCACGGAAGAAGCGAGAGUGACGGUACGUGCAGAAGAAGCGCCGGCUAACUACGUG
rnacentral:rRNA from 1 species